rnacentral:tRNA from 1 species
UGGGCCGUCGUUCAAUUGGCAGGACUACGGAUUCUGACUCCGUCAAUCAUGGUUCGAGUCCAUGCGGCCCAGCCA